AGCGGCAGACGGGUGCGUAACAUGUGGGAAUCUGCCUUUUGGUUCGGAAUAACACGGGGAAACCUGUGCUAAUACCGGAUAAGUCCUUACGGAGAAAGUUUUAAUGCCAAAAGAUGAGCCCGCAUUUGAUUAGCUAGUUGGUGAGGUAAAAGCUCACCAAGGCGAUAAUCAAUAGCUGAUUUGAGAGGAAGACCAGCCACAUUGGGACUGAGACACGGCCCAAACUCC
rnacentral:rRNA from 1 species